UUUUUUAUAAUAUAGUAGAAACAUUGUCACAUGCAAAUCAAAAUUUAAACUAAUUAAAAAUAACACAGAAGUACGUAGAAGUAACAUAGAAGUACAUAGAAUUAUUUUUAGCUUUAUUGUUACACAUAAGGUUAGGAUCCUUCCAUUUUUUUUAAAAAAAUAAAUUAGGAGCUCUACUACUAUAGUUUUGUGUGUAUAAAUCACAUAAAUGUUACAUGGUUUUAUAAAAAUGUGUUAUAAUACACACCAAACUAGCUAUAUAGUAAUAGAACUCUCUACUUCUUUUUAAAAAUGGAAAGGAUUCUUAUUUUCACUUAAGGGCAUGCAGUGACACAUUUCCAUAUAACAUUGUGGCUUUUUAGGAUCGAUACAAGGAUCAUCUGUACAAUCAUCGUUGGUCACGCAGGGGACAAAACCUAUAUGUCAUAUAAGAAUAAAUGAAUGUUAAUUGCUAAAAGAGGAUAUAAGAGUUUAUAUAUAAUAAUAAAGAAGAAACAAUAAAAUGUGUAUUAAAAAGGACUUACUAUGGCUGGUUACAACAAGAAUUAGGGAAACCAAGAUGAUCAAAGCAUAAACUAUUUUUAGAAUCUUAACCAUAUUUUCUUUCUUUAAUUUGUAUGUAACAAACAAACCAUUAUUUGAUCACUUUUUAUAAGUAAAAUACGGCAUGCUUUGUUUUCCGG
rnacentral:lncRNA from 1 species